AUGGCUCUGCGGUUCUUGGCGGUCCUGGGGUUCCUCUCCGCGGCGGCGGCGGCUGCGGUGCCGCGGCCUGAGCCGGAGGUGAAGCCGAGCGAUACGGACGCGCUGGGCAUGUUCCGGCACGCUGCCGACGCGCACGGCAUCCUGGCCGGCAACUGGAGCACGCCCGACGCCUGCGCCGGCCGCUGGACCGGCGUGGGGUGCUCCUCCGACGGUCGCCGGGUCACCUCGCUCUCCCUCGGCUCGCUCGACCUGCGGGGCUCUCUCGACCCGCUCUCCCACCUCACCGAGCUCCGCGUGCUCGACCUCCGCGGGAACCGCCUCAACGGCACCCUCGACGGCCUCCUCCUCGGCGUCCCCAACCUCAAGCUCCUCUACCUCUCCCGCAACGACAUCUCCGGCGCCGUCCCGGACGCCCUCGCGCGGCUCCCCCGCCUCGUCCGCCUUGACCUCGCCGACAACAGCCUGCGCGGGCCCAUCCCGGCCGCCGCGCUCGCCAACCUUACCGACCUCCUCACGCUCAGGCUCCAGGACAACCUCCUCACCGGUCUGCUCCCGGACCUCGCACCGCCCUGCCCCACCUCGCGGACUUCAAUGCCUCCAACAACCAGCUCUCCGGCAGGGUGCCCGACGCGGUGCGCGCCAAGUUCGUCCGUGGUGCCGUCCAACCCAGCCGCCUCCUCCUCCUCCUCGUCCGUUGCUUCGUCCUCACCGGCAUUGGCCACACCAGAGGGAGCCUCUAGCAAGGGGGGCUUGAGCACAGGCGCGAUUGCUGGGAUUGCCGUCGGCAAUGGCCUCUUCCUGUUCGCGCUGCUGUCGCUGCUGGUUGCAUAUUGCUGCUGUAGCACCGGCGGCGUCAGCGAGACAGCCAAGAAGAGGAAAAGAGGCGGCCGCGUUGGCCUGGAGGAUGGAGACGGCGGGAUGUUCGGCCACGGCAAGGGCAUGCAGCCAGCUCGCCCGGGCAGCGCUGGCAGGUGCAGCGAUGGCGGCGACAGCGACGGGGCACGCAGCAAAUUGGUAUUCUUCGGGGUCGACGGCGAAGGCGGUGGCAACGACGAAGCUGACGACGACGGGGCAAGCGACAGCAGCGUCGGACGGAGGGCAAGUGGUGGCUGGACAGCGCAAUAG
rnacentral:rRNA from 1 species